CGGCGGACGGGUGAGUAACACGUGGGCAACCUGCCUGUAAGACUGGGAUAACUCGCGGAAACGUGAGCUAAUACCGGAUAAUGUCUUUCCUCGCAUGAGGGAGGGCUGAAAGACGGCCUUUGUGCUGUCACUUACAAAUGGGCCCGCGGCGCAUUAGUUAGUUGGUGAGGUAAGAGCUCACCAAGGCGACGAUGCGUAGCCGACCUGAGAGGGUGAUCGGCCACACUGGGACUGAGACACGGCCCAGACUCCUACGGGAGGCAGCAGUAGGGAAUCUUCCGCAAUGGACGAAAGUCUGACGGAGCAACGCCGCGUGAGUGAUGAAGGUCUUCGGAUCGUAAAACUCUGUUGUCAGGGAAGAACAAGCGUGGUUCGAAUAGGGCCAUGCCUUGACGGUACCUGACCAGAAAGCCCCGGCUAACUACGUGCCAGCAGCCGCGGUAAUACGUAGGGGGCAAGCGUUGUCCGGAAUUAUUGGGCGUAAAGCGCGCGCAGGCGGUUUCUUAAGUCUGAUGUGAAAUCUUGCGGCUUAACCGCAAGUGGUCAUUGGAAACUGGGAGGCUUGAGUACAGAAGAGGAGAGUGGAAUUCCACGUGUAGCGGUGAAAUGCGUAGAGAUGUGGAGGAACACCAGUGGCGAAGGCGACUCUCU
rnacentral:rRNA from 1 species